rnacentral:rRNA from 1 species
AGCGAACGCUGGCGGCAGGCUUAACACAUGCAAGUCGGGCGCCCCGCAAGGGGAGCGGCAGACGGGUGAGUAACGCGUGGGAAUCUACCCAUCUCUACGGAAUAACGCAUGGAAACGUGUGCUAAAACCGUAUACGUCCUUCGGGAGAAAGAUUUAUCGGAGAUGGAUGAGCCCGCGUUGGAUUAGCUAGUUGGUGGGGUAAAGGCCUACCAAGGCGACGAUCCAUAGCUGGUCUGAGAGGAUGAUCAGCCACACUGGGACUGAGACACGGCCCAGACUCCUACGGGAGGCAGCAGUGGGGAAUAUUGGACAAUGGGCGCAAGCCUGAUCCAGCCAUGCCGCGUGAGUGAUGAAGGCCCUAGGGUUGUAAAGCUCUUUCACCGGUGAAGAUAAUGACGGUAACCGGAGAAGAAGCCCCGGCUAACUUCGUGCCAGCAGCCGCCGUAACAC